rnacentral:lncRNA from 1 species
CACUGGUGUAUUACAGAUAGCCCUGAGGGCUAGUUCAGAUUAGUAUGUCUGAGCUUUUGGUUCAUAUGAUUGGACCUAUAGUACAGUGUUUUAAAGGUUAAGUCUGGUAGUUUUAAAGACAAGUUUUAAAAAGUAAUAGUCCAGUCGGAUCAUGUAUGGGAUUUUAACAGGUACACAGAGUUCAGGAUAGGCUUACUACG